UGCGACUCGGUGUCUAGAUCCAGGAAAUGG
rnacentral:piRNA from 1 species